rnacentral:rRNA from 1 species
UAACACGUGGAUAACCUACAUAUAAGACUGGGAUAACUUCGGGAAACCGGAGCUAAUACCGGAUAAUAUUUUGAACCGCAUGGUUCAAAAGUGAAAGACGGUCUUGCUGUCACUUAUAGAUGGAUCCGCGCUGCAUUAGCUAGUUGGUAAGGUAACGGCUUACCAAGGCAACGAUGCAUAGCCGACCUGAGAGGGUGAUCGGCCACACUGGAACUGAGAUACGGUCCAG